GGUUCAGUGGCCUAGUGAUUAGAGCGUCCACCUUUUAUGCGGGAGGUUGCGCGUUCUAUCCCGGGCUGAGUCA